rnacentral:rRNA from 1 species
CCUACGGGUGGCAGCAGUGAGGAAUAUUGGUCAAUGGACGCAAGUCUGAACCAGCCAUGCCGCGUGCAGGAAGAAGGCUCUAUGAGUUGUAAACUGCUUUUGUACGAGGGUAAACGCAGAUACGCGUAUCUGUCUGCAAGUAUCGUACGAAUAAGGAUCGGCUAACUCCGUGCCAGCAGCCGCGGUAAUACGGAGGAUUCAAGCGUUAUCCGGAUUUAUUGGGUUUAAAGGGUGCGUAGGCGGUCGGAUAAGUUAGAGGUGAAAUCCCGAGGCUCAACUUCGGAAUUGCCUCUGAUACUGUUCGGCUAGAGAGUAGGUGCGGUAGGCGGAAUGUAUGGUGUAGCGGUGAAAUGCUUAGAGAUCAUACAGAACACCGAUUGCGAAGGCAGCUUACCAAGCUACGUCUGACGUUGAGGCACGAAAGCGUGGGGAGCAAACAGGAUUAGAUACCCGGGUAGUC